rnacentral:lncRNA from 1 species
AGAAAAGGCUCAAAAAGUUAAGUUUCUUGAUUAAAGACAUAGAAGUGUAACAAAAAUUUAUACUCAGGUCUAUCUGGGUCAAGCUACAGAGAACUUAUAGAAAAUGGAACUUUCAUCCCCAAGAGAAGACAUUUUGCUAUUGAUAGUCCUUUUGCAGACACCUCUGAAAGUCUUCAAGCUGUACACAAAAUUAAGGAAUCUUACAAUUCUGUAUUAUAUUGGAGACAAUUUCAACAAUAGCCACAAAAAUUAUCAUCACAGGGAAGAGAAAGAGAGAGAAAGGUUGCACGGUUAGAUGGUUCUGGAACCCUCAUUUGCAGUGUCCUUACUAACAGUAUUUCAGCUUCCUAAACCAAGGGAUGCUAUAAACCAGGAGGGACUGCUGCUUUGGAAUGGAAGCCAAAGGGCAAAAGAUGGCAAGAAGCUAGUACGUUUCAUAAGGAAGUAUUUGAAGAAAGUAUGUAGAAGACCAAAUCAAG